GACGAACGCUGGCGGCGCGCUUAACACAUGCAAGUCGAGCGAGAACCAGGCCUUCGGGCCUGGGGAAAGCGGCGAACGGGUGAGUAACACGUGAGUAACCUGCCCUCGGCUCCGGGAUAGCCCGUGGAAACGCGGAUUAAUACCGGAUAGCCUUUCGAGCUCUCGGGCUCGUCAGAAAAGGUAGCUUCGGCCUCUGGCCGAGGAGGGGCUCGCGGCGGAUUAGCUUGUUGGCGGGGUAACGGCCCACCAAGGCGACGAUCCGUAGCUGGUCUGAGAGGACGAUCAGCCACACUGGGACUGAGACACGGCCCAGACUCCUACGGGAGGCAGCAGUGGGGAAUCUUGCGCAAUGGGCGAAAGCCUGACGCAGCGACACCGCGUGCGGGAAGAAGGCCUUCGGGUUGUAAACCGCUUUCAGGAGGGACGAAGCCACUCGGGUGAACAGCCCAGAGGGUGACGGUACCUCCAGAAGAAGCCCCGGCUAACUACGUGCCAGCAGCCCGCGGUAAUACGUAGGGGGCAAGCGUUGUCCGGACUUAUUG
rnacentral:rRNA from 1 species